rnacentral:rRNA from 1 species
AUACGUAGGGUGCAAGCGUUAUCCGGAAUUAUUGGGCGUAAAGCGUUCGUAGGUGGUUGAAUAAGUUUGUAGUUAAACCUGGUCGCUCAACGAUCAGCCUGUUACGAAAACUGUUCAACUAGAGAUUGGUAGAGGCAACUGGAAUUCCACAUGUAGGGGUAAAAUCCGUUGAUAUGUGGAGGAACACCAAAAGCGAAGGCAGGUUGCUGGGCCAUUUCUGACACUGAGGAACGAAAGCGUGGGGAGCAAACAGGAUUAGAUACCCCGGUAGUCC